GCAGUUUGUACAGAUUAGACAGAAUAGGCAGUCAGGAAACAAUAUAUGUGAGCCUAUUUUUGCUGUAAAUACAUUCCUGCAUUUUUCCAACUACAAUUUU